AUUGAACGCUGGCGGUAUGCUUAACACAUGCAAGUCGAACGGUAACAGGUCUUCGGAUGCUGACGAGUGGCGGACGGGUGAGUAAUGCGUAGGAAUCUGCCUAUGAGUGGGGGAUAACUUAGGGAAACUUAAGCUAAUACCGCAUAAGCCCUACGGGGGAAAGCGGGGGAUCGUAAGACCUCGCGCUGAUAGAUGAGCCUACGUCAGAUUAGCUAGUUGGUGGGGUAAUGGCCUACCAAGGCGACGAUCUGUAACUGGUCUGAGAGGAUGAUCAGUCACACUGGAACUGAGACACGGUCCAGACUCCUACGGGAGGCAG
rnacentral:rRNA from 1 species